rnacentral:tRNA from 1 species
GCCUGGGUGGCUCAGUCAGUUAAGCGUCUGACUUCGGCUCAGGUCAUGAUCUUGUGGUUCGUGAGUUCAACCCCCACAUCGGGCU